GAUACCCCAGGUCAGG
rnacentral:rRNA from 8 species